rnacentral:rRNA from 1 species
GACGAACGCUGGCGGCGUGCUUAACACAUGCAAGUCGAACGGAAAGGCCCUGCUUUUGUGGGGUGCUCGAGUGGCGAACGGGGGAGUAACACGUGAGUAACCUGCCCUUGACUUUGGGAUAACUUCAGGAAACUGGGGCUAAUACCGGAUAGGAGCUCCUGCUGCAUGGUGGGGGUUGGAAAGUUUCGGCGGUUGGGGAUGGACUCGCGGCUUAUGAGCUUGUUGGUGGGGUAGUGGCUUACCAAGGCUGUGACGGGUAGCCGGCCUGAGAGGGUGACCGGCCACAUUGGGACUGAGAUACGGACCAGACUCCUACGGGAGGCAGCAGUGGGGAAUAUUGCACAAUGGGCGGAAGCCUGAUGCAGCAACGCCGCGUGCGGGAUGACGGCCUUCGGGUUGUAAACCGCUUUCGCCUGUGACGAAGCGUGAGUGACGGUAAUGGGUAAAGAAGCACCGGCUAACUACGUG